UUUAACGAGAGUUUGAUCCUGGCUCAGAAUCAACGCUGGCGGCGUGCCUCAGACAUGCAAGUCGAACGAUUAAACUUUCCUUCGGGAAAGAUAUAAAGUG
rnacentral:rRNA from 1 species